GAUGAACGCUGGCGGCGUGCCUAAUACAUGCAAGUCGAGCGAACAGAUGAGGAGCUUGCUCCUCUGACGUUAGCGGCGGACGGGUGAGUAACACGUGGAUAACCUACCUAUAAGACUGGGAUAACUUCGGGAAACCGGAGCUAAUACCGGAUAAUAUAUUUAACCGCAUGGUUCAAUAGUGAAAGACGGUUUUGCUGUCACUUAUAGAUGGAUCCGCGCCGCAUUAGCUAGUUGGUAAGGUAACGGCUUACCAAGGCAACGAUGCGUAGCCGACCUGAAAGGGUGAUCGGCCACACUGGAACGGAGACACGGUCCAGACUCCUACGGGAGGCAGCAGUAGGGAAUCUUCCGCAAUGGGCGAAAGCCUGACGGAGCAACGCCGCGUGAGUGAUGAAGGUCUUCGGAUCGUAAAACUCUGUUAUUAGGGAAGAACAAAUGUGUAAGUAACUAUGCACGUCUUGACGGUACCUAAUCAGAAAGCCACGGCUAACUACGUG
rnacentral:rRNA from 1 species